rnacentral:lncRNA from 1 species
CGCCAGAUUACAGCCCUGACCCCAGAGCAUCCCUCUACGAGGCAGCUGUGGCGGGACAAAAGGCAGCUGCAGCUGCAGCUGCAGUUACAGGGCCUGCUUAUGGCCUGUCGGAUUGAGGCCCUACCUGAAGAAGGGCUCUGCUGCAGCCGUGCGUGUUCAGUUCGAGUCGAUACCUUGCCGAAAGAUGCCACAUUUGCAGCGACUGGAACCGUAUUUGCCGCCAAGCUGGGCCAGGCAUCCCAUCCGCCUCGCAAGAAGGCUCUGGCGCCGCUGCACCCAACUGUCGCGUAGUCCAAAGUUCCAGCGAUACGUGAGGUAAGAGAAAUGUCUUCCAUUCCCUCCCGCAAGAGCCAUACCCAAAUCAUUUGAUUGCUUCAGAUUUCUACAAUCAAACCUCUGCCCCGUCUAGUCUGUGCGGCAUUACAUUGGUGGAGAGGAGAUCGGAGCACGUUCAGCGCAUGACAGCAUUUGGCUGCAAACGUUCUGUGAUUCCACCAAAAAUGCGCAGCAAUUCGGAAUUUGUUGCUGCUGCUGCUGCUCUCUGCGGAUUUGGCUACUCAGGGAGUCGCCGCACGUAGACAGAGGGGUUGAUGGAUGCCAAAAUUAAGCACACACUGCGCAUUAUUUAUACCCCAUUAGGCCCAAAAGAAAUGGCCAACGACCUUCACCCACUCCAAAGCAGCAGCCGAUCCCAGAGUACUAUUGGGAGGAAGGCUGGAAGGAGAUCUACUCCUCACCAUGGUCCAGAGAGGUCCAUCUGCAUGCCAAUGAAUUGAUGACGACAGGGGGAUCGAACGGGGCAAUACCGUUUCCCCGGCUGGGGAUCUACCCAAUCUCAAACAGUAGCCCCAGCAGAGACAUGCUGACCACCAUGGGGAAAACACAGCGAGACGCUACGAGAACGCUGCCAGUGCAAUAAAUACUUGGCGCAAAUAUUCAUCAGCAUUCAGUCUCGUUCCAAGUCUCGGCCCGAGCGUGCCAGUACAGAUUGUCAGUCGAUUGUCGAACCCGUUGCCCCAGCGAAAUACUCUGAAAAUGUUCACCUCUAUCAGAUCUCACCAGCAUCGCGCCGUCGGCCUCAUCUUACGGGCCCUCGUCGCUGGCAGCCUGCUCAUCCUGAUGAGUGCCAUCCACCAGGACACCGACGACUCCGGCUCCCACUACAUCCACCCGCGUCACGCGAUGCAAUAGCCUUGCAUCAAAGAUAACUCAGUUUUAGCGUUUAGCUUAAGUGCAACUAAAUUCUAAUCAACAGUUCACAGUCCGUUUCCUGAUGGUCGCGAUGAUCGUGACUGCGCUCACCUACUAGUAAAAGAUGUAAAUAAUAACCGGUUCCGGCCAGUGCGACAGUGGGUUUCCCUGAUGCAGGGGAGGCUAAAAAUGUCGUUUAAUUAUUACAUAUAAUCGCUGCCUAAUGCAUUUGUAACUGUCCAAUAACUCGUUGGCUAUGCAUGAAGCAGCUCAACUCUCUCGUGUGCCAAUUCUAAGUGUGUUUAUUUAUUUAUUUGUUUAUCUAAGCGGCAGAAGCACAUGUGUGCCAGCCACCGAAUAUCUUUCUCUUUCCUUGACACAGUUUAUUAUUAAGUUCUAUACUUAACAAGUUAAGAAGUGGAAUAUUGUAUGUAACUCUUCUCUUAUUUGAAAAAUAUAACAUAAAAUAUGCAAAACAUAAAGUAUAACGUUGUGAGAAUCUUUUAGCCAAGUAUUGGGAAUAAAAUGAGUAAAGGUUUCUGCGCUCAUCUCCCACCUCUCACGGUUUAAAAAAAACAACAUUUUCAAAAC